AUGGUUCCUUUGGUCGCUCGCUCCCUCCUACUUGGAUAACUGUGGUAAUUCUAGAGCUAAUACAUGCCGACGAGCGCUGACCCGGGCCCCUUUCCCCCCGUGGGUGGGGGCUCCGGGGAUGCGUGCAUUUAUCAGACCAAAACCAACCCGGCGGUUUCCCCCCAACCCCCCAACCAGGGGCGGGGGUGCCCCGGCCGCUUUGGUGACUCUAGAUAACCUCGGGCCGAUCGCACGCCCCCCGUGGCGGCGAUGACCCAUUCGAACG
rnacentral:rRNA from 1 species